UUGGCAUGACCGACUGGGGUUAUAGGACAGCAACACUGUACAACAGAGACUAGAUGAAGUGUUUGGAAUGACACGCCAAAGAGAGUGAAAGCCUCGUAAUUAAAAAUCAAAGUUGGCAAGCUGAAUCCUGAGUAGCACGGUACACGAGAAAUUCCGUGUGAAUUCGCGAGGACCACCUCGUAAGGCUAAAUACUCACUUGUGACCGAUAGUGAACCAGUACCGCGAGGGAAAGGUGAAAAGAACCCCGGAAGGGGAGUGAAAUAGAACAUGAAACCGUGAGCUUACAAGCAAUGGGAGGACGAUUUAACGUCUGACCGUGUGCCUGUUGAAGAAUGAGCCGGCGACUUAUAGGCAGUGGCAGGUUAAGGGGAAAAUCCCGAAGCCAAAGCGAAAGCGAGUUUGAUAAGAGCGAUAGUCACUGUUUAUAGACCCGAACCCGGGUGAUCUAACCAUGGGCAGGAUGAAGCUUGGG
rnacentral:rRNA from 4 species